GCGCGAAACCUUCGCAAUGCGCGAAAGCGUGACGAGGUUAAUCCGAGUGGUCCCCGCUGAGGGGAUCUUUUCUUGGCUCUAAAACGGCCAGGGAAUAAGGGGAGGGCAAGUCUGGUGU
rnacentral:rRNA from 1 species